UACAGAGGGUGCAAGCGUUGUUCGGAAUUAUUGGGCGUAAAGCGCGUGUAGGCGGCUUAGCAAGUCAGAUGUGAAAGCCCAUGGCUCAACCAUGGAAGUGCGUCUGAAACUGCCGAGCUUGAGUACCGGAGAGGAUGGCGGAAUUCCGCAAGUAGAGGUGAAAUUCGUAGAUAUGCGGAGGAACACCGGUGGCGAAGGCGGCCAUCUGGACGGUAACUGACGCUGAGACGCGAAAGCGUGGGUAGCAAACAGG
rnacentral:rRNA from 1 species